UAUAGUCUGUCAAGCAAAGUCUGUCAGUAGCAAUGUAAAGCAAACUGAAGUAUGGCAACACUCACAGAGCAGUAUUGCGCUAAGAAAAGCAGCAAUGUACAUCGAACCGAAACAUAUUUUUUUCCGCUGAGCGCGCUCUUCGUACGUCAACUAAAAUUGCCGCUCGCGGUUUAUUGAAGCAUUUGGAAAUUGUUAUUAUUAUGAGAGGGACAAUUUAAACUGGAGUAAAAACGAUGUCAAUCAAUAUGAUAAACGAGAUCAAAAAAUACCUAUUUGCAAACGGACUAUACUGGAGAAAAUAAUGUUUGAAUCAAGUCAUUGCUUCCGCAGCAAACUUAGAAGACAAAUAGGGAGCAAAGAGAACAUGAGCACCAUGGUAGAAAGCUGUUUUUAACAUCAGUUCAGAAACUGAAGAAGCCCAAAGAAAAUAAUUAUGCCACUUGUUAAUUGUAAAUUAGUGUAUUUCUCUUGAACAAUGUCACAUUCACAUACCAGUGUAAUUUUGAAAUGGUUUUACAAUAUAUUUAUAUAAAUAUACAGAUUAAAAAUAAAUAAAACACAACUGCAGAUAUUUUGGUGUUCAUUUAAUUUCAAGGCAAUUAAGAUACGGGUCACUUUAGCUUUCUUACACUUAAUUCAGGCCAUUCAUUGAAAAAAUAUCUUUAAGUUACCAAUGUUACUGGUCCACUCCAACCAAGCAUCAGAAUAAUUUGUACCUAGUCACUUAUUGCAUGCUAGCUUAGUAAGGUUUUGCUCACACUACUGUUUUUAUACAGGCUAAAAAUGUUAGAUAUUUACAUGUAUUGGCUAGAUCAUAUUUUAUAUGUAGAUAUUUAAAAAAGUCAUUUAGAUAUCAGGAGAAUGCUGUUAAGAAAUUUUAUUAACUUUCACAUUAGUCUAUUCAAGACUUGUCAGGAACUGACACAAUUUCAGGUACUCAAAAUAUUAAUAAAAGAUACCUUGACAAUGGAAACUUAACAACUUCCACUCAUGUGAGUAAUAUGGAGUUAUAUUGUUUCUGGAUAAAAGAAGGUAUGAUUUAAAUGUUAAAAUAUUUUUCUAAAAUUAUGCACACUGAAUAAAUUAUUUUAAUU